CUCAUCAAGUACAUACCCCUGACCUACAACAAAGUCUACAUGUACCCUACCUGGGCCAUCGGGCUGGGCUGGAGCCUGGCCCUGUCUUCCAUGGUGUGUGUCCCCUUGGUCGUGGUCAUCCGCCUCUGCCAGACGAAAGGGCCAUUCCUUGUGAGACUCAAGUACCUGCUGACCCCCAGGGAACCCAACCGCUGGGCCGUGGAGCGCGAGGGGGCCACGCCCUACAACUCCCGCAGGGCCGUGAACGGGGCUCUCAUGAAACCCUCGCACAUCCUGGUGGAGACCAUGAUGUGAGCUCGUGGCCAGGUCGGGCCACUUUCCUGCUGUUUACUAACAUUAGAUGCCCGUAGGACGAGGUUUACAGAGCUUCAGAUUGCACUAGGAGUUUUUCUAAUUGUCACAGAAAAUGUGUGUGUGUGUGUGUGUGUGUGUGUGUGUGUGUGUGUGGUGCCGUGCGUAUGUGUAUUUUGUUUUGAUUUGGGGAUAUUUUGUACAAAAAGAAAACCCACAGGCAGAUGUCGGGGGCGAGGCAGAGCCUUCAUACUGAAUUAGAUGUAUUUUAUAGGAACUUGGUAAAUUUUUCUUUGUAUUUUUUUUACAUAUAACUGUAUAUACACUUAGAGAUUGUCAUACACUUUUACCACUUGAAUUGAUCCUGCCAGCAAUAGAUCUCAUUUUUAAAAGCAAUUCUUCGGUGCUUGUGUAGCUGGCAGAAAGUUCUGCCCCCAAAAAGUGCAGGGCGGACUUUUCCUGGGCCAACGAGCCCAUUUUAAAAGUGCAUAGCACCUUCCAAACGUGGUUCGAGUGGAAGCAAACAGCACCCACCAGCUGGCCAGACCCAGAGGGGCUGGAGAAAGGAGGCCGUGGGGAGAUGCCUCGUCGCUCUUGUCUUCGCCAAGAAGAGAGACGCCAAGCUAAUGAACCAGCCCCUCAAACACAAGGACUGACUCAAAGCUGACAGAUGAGGCCCCACAGCAACAGCCUGAUUCUAAGAGCCGCAGAAGCCGCUGCACCAGGAGCAAAACCCCACCUUGUAUUUUGAGGUGGACGGUGGAGGUUGGACAGUCAGAAGGACUGUCGGACGGACCGUCAGAGCCACUCAUGCAGAGGAGCAGCGAGAGCUCCAAGAGGCUGGGGCGGACGGGGCCGAGGUGGGAGCCCUCAGGCUGACCGCCUGGCCACAAUCCUUCCUGGGGCUGCCCCCAUGGAGACCUGAGGCCGCCCACCAGGAGCUGGCAGUCCCAGGGCUCCGAGCCUCGUGCAGAUGGUCUGUUGCAUCUUAGUGGGGUCCUGGCAGGUUCAGGCAAUUCCCCAGCUGACAUCUCUGGAGGCUGCCUGUCGGAAGGAACCAUGGCGUAUUUGUGAGGGACGGGAGGGGAGCGAGUGGACUGGAGGAUGCAGGCCAGGCGCACAGAGGGCCCGGGUCAGGAGGCGUCUUUUCUUUCCUCAUCUCUCCACUCAGCUCUGUCCUCAUCUCCCAGAGGCGGGGAAACUCCUGACAAGCUCUUGUUGAAGAUCCCGGCCCAGGGCCACCCUAGCGCCCAGCAGGGAGUGCCAGGAGCGGCUCUGGAUUCGGCUGACGCGCUCCCGUCGCUCUCCUCGCAGUUCAGGCACAAGUGCAGCCCUUGGUGGGGCCCUGGGAGAGAAGAGAGCUCUGCCUUUCACAGCCCUGCAGAGCUGGUGUCAGCUGUGCACUACGUGGGAGCCUGCAAGAGGAGGCGAGGGGGCAUUUUCUAGAAGGUUGGGGUUUUCAUGGGGCUGGCAGCCCAGACCUGGCUUGACUGAGAGCCUCACGUAGAGCAGCGUUCCUCUGAACCAGGAGAGAAGGUGCCCCCCUUUAAAAGCCCCAGUACGGACACGCCCCCACCCCAGCUCCAUUGGGACCCCAACUGUGUCAUUUAGACAGUCACUUCCAAAUUCAGAGUCUCAACUACACCGAAACAUUGUCACACACAAACGGCACUGCCCGCCUCACGGGGUGUGUGGAGUGAAGCCCCACUCAGGUUUUCAGAGCGGGGGCUCUCUGGAUCCUGGGACCCCCUCCCCAAAUUCAGGAGGGGGAGGAGCCUUUAAUGUCCCCCUCUCAAGGGACAGAGGCAAUUCUGAACCUCUUGCUUUGGCGAGCAUUCACAUUUCACUGUUUCCAAGGCACAUCCUCUGCCGAACGGCACCCAGCCCUGGUCCAAACGCUUCAGUCCUGAUGUGUCCUGUCCCCGUGUAUCUGUGGUGCCACUGUGUCUGAUUUGAUUUUAUUGGGUUUUUCCUGAGUAGCAAUGUGGCCUGUUUUCCUUUGUCUUAUGGAACCUCAGUGAACUAACCGCUCUCAGGGGUUGGGGACAGGUGGCCUGUGGAGGCGAGGGGCGUCUGUGGCUGCCUGGGCAUCUGUGGUUGUUUCAGGCUCCACCGUCGUCUCCCCUCCUGGGGCUUGGACCCGGGUGAGAGGCUACAGUAUUGCGGGUUGGUGGGCAAAUGGCAACAUUCUGGAAAUGGCCCGAGGAAGGCCUCUUCUUAUGAGAGUCCCAGACCAAUUCCAGACCAAAGACACAUGCAGACCAGCUCCCCAGGCCUCGCCUGGAAGGAAGGUCAGCCACUUCACCCAAGCCGGUUCCUCAGCAAGCUCCCGGGGCACCUGUCUCCCCGGCGGCCUCUGGUCGAGUCCCCCAGCUCUGUGUCCGCAGAACUCGGCCCUGCGAGCACAGUGUGCGAGGCCGCGCGGCUUCUCCGUGUCCACACGCAGAGCUCCCGACUCUGGUCCUCCUGUCUCUGGAGAACGGGCCGUCCUCCGCCCGCUCCCCGCCUGGGAUGGGUCAGAAAUCCGGAGGCCGACACACAGCCCAGUCAGCCGGAUCUGGAAGGGGUGUGAGGGAGAUGUUUGAAGAAUUUUUUAGGAUGAGGAAAUGGAUAAGGUCCCCGGGAUAAAUCUCCCCCAGGGAGAUGCUUCGCUGAGCUGGGCGUGGACCGAGUUAAUCCCUGCAGUGGACAGGCCUCCAGGGCCCCCCAGCCAACACCCUCAUUGUAAAAUGGGGAAACUGAGGCCUGGAGCAGGGAAGGGACUUUGGCACAGCGAGCUGGGAACGGAACCAGCCCCUCUCGGGUCACUUCCAGCUGCAGGGGCUCUGGGGCCUGUGUGGCGAGUGGCGAGUGCAGCUCCCUAGGUCUCUCCCUGAAGACCGAAGGCAAGCCUUGAUGAAACAGGAAACGUUCCAUCCCCCGCAGUCAGGGACAAGGUGAGCAGCACCCACCUCGGACCAUCCUCAGGGGCCAGCUGGACCCCAGGCUGUGGUUCCGUGGGGCAGGUAGCUGGCCUUCAGUCGGAGGGGCAGCGCCCAUUCACCGUGGCCCUGCACCCAGCAGCCCUCUGUGAUCUGGGCAUUGAGAGCCCUACUGCACAGGAGGAAACUGAGGCCCAGAGAAGCUGGCUGGUGUGCAAGAGGCAGAACGCCUUAGGCAGGAUUAGCCAGAGGCUAUGUGGGAAAUUCCCAGGAGCAGGAGGUGGCCUUGGAUGAGUUCUGGGCUCUUUGCAGCUCCCUCUCUGUACCUCUGGUCCCCUGUUCUCGCCCCAGAUCCCCAGCACACCCCCAGAGAUGGUGGUGAAGCACAAGACGAGAGCAGACCCGUCCCCCCACCCCGGCCUAGGACAGGGCGUCCUGUGUCACCCAGGUGCUACGCACAGUGGUCAGGGCCCAGGCAGCAUCACGGGAAGUGCUCUGGGCAGCCGGCGCUGAGGGCAGAGGCACCGCCCUUCCCCCCAAGCCUCAGACGUAAGCCAGGAAAGGACCCAAGAGAAACCGCUCCAGGCAGCUAGAGGUUCGUCCAGCCCUCAGACCCAGGCCAGGCGGCCCCAGGCCAUCCGCACGGAUGUUUUAAAUACCACUGUGCAGAAAUUCAACAAGCACAAGACCGCACAGCACACAAAACCCCGAUCCCAGAACUUGGCGCCGGUGCGGCCCCCAGGCCCAGGAGCAGCCUUCGUCCUCUCUCCAGCACCGGCCCUCAGACGCCCCUUGUUUUAUGGGAAGCUGCCUCUCCUUGUCCCCUGGGGGGUGUCGCUGCUGACCUGUCUGCCUGGUCCUUGGGGGAUGGGACGUCUUGGGGUAUAUCUGGCUUCAAAUCGAGACGUUGGCUCCAUUUUUUUUACCCAGUUCAUUUUCCAGUCCCCAGCUACUGUGACUCUGUGUUUAGCACAAAACAAAGCUGAGAACGUGGGUCUUGCCUCCUUCCAGAAAUAUGUCUGGCACACCAGGACUUUUUAUUAAAACUUCAAAAUAUUUUUAAAAUAUUUUAAACUUUUGUAAAAAAAAAAAAAGAAAACCAAAUCAACCAACCAGAGACUCUUCUGAGGAGGAACAUUUGUAUUUGAAUGAGAUCCUGGGCAUGUGAUUCAGUCUUGCGGUAGACAAGCUUUGUGUAUAAAUGUUUUAUGAUAUGAAUCCCUGUAUUUGCAGGGUUUUUCUCUUUGCUCAUUAGAUAAAUAUGUAUAUCGAUAUUUUAAAUUCAUCUUUGCUUUUUUUUAGAGGAGUUUGUAAUCACCUUAUAACAUGAAAAUAAACAUUUCCUUUGUAAAAUCCAA